CGGGACUUACUUAGCUUGCUUUGUAAGUUUAGUGGCGGACGGGUGAGUAACACGUGAGCAACCUGCCCAGAAGAAGGGGAUAGCUCGAGGAAACUCGAAUUAAUACCAUAUGUGAUCCUGUGAAGCAUUUCGCAGGAAUGAAAGAUGCCUUCGGGUGUCACUUCUGGAUGGGCUCGCGGCCUAUCAGUUAGUUGGUGAGGUAACGGCUCACCAAGGCAAUGACGGGUAGCUGGUCUGAGAGGACGACCAGUCACACUGGAACUGAGACACGGUCCAGACACCUACGGGUGGCAGCAGUCGAGAAUCAUUCGCAAUGGGGGAAACCCUGACGGUGCGACGCCGCGUGGAGGAUGACGGUCUUCGGAUUGUAAACUCCUGUCAUCGAAGAGUAAGGCUUAUGUAUUAAUAGUAUGUAAGAUUGAUAGUAUUCGAAGAGGAAGGGACGGCUAACUUCGUGCCAGCAGCCGCGGUAAUACGAAGGUCCCAAGCGUUGUUCGGAAUCACUGGGCGUAAAGGGAGCGUAGGCGGUGAGGUAAGUCAGAUGUGAAAUUCCAGGGCUCAACCCUGGAACUGCAUCCGAUACUGCCUUACUAGAGUAGUGGAGGGGCAUCUGGAAUUCACGGUGUAGCAGUGAAAUGCGUAGAGAUCGUGAGGAACACUAGUGGCGAAGGCGAGAUGCUGGACACUUACUGACGCUGAGGCUCGAAGGCCAGGGUAGCGAAAGGGAUUAGAUACCCCUGUAGUCCUGGCAGUAAACGGUGCACGUUUGGGUGUGAGAAGGUUCGACCCUUUUCGUGCCGGAG
rnacentral:rRNA from 1 species